GCCUUCGUGGUGUAGUGGUCAGCAAGCUCGACGCGUAACCGAGAGGUUUGUGGUUCGAUUCCCGGCGAAGGCG
rnacentral:tRNA from 1 species